AGUGGCGUACGGGUGAGUAACACGUGGAUCAUCUACCUUUUAGUGGGGAAUACCCCUGGGAAACCGGGGACAAUACCGCAUAAUCCCGUGAGGGGAAAGCAGCAAUGCGCUGAAAGAGGAGUCCGCGGCUGAUUAGCUAGUUGGCGGGGUAACGGCCCACCAAGGCGAAGAUCGGUAGCCGGCCUGAGAGGGCACACGGCCACACUGGCACUGAAACACGGGCCAGACUCCUACGGGAGGCAGCAGUGGGGAAUCUUGCACAAUGGAGGAAACUCUGAUGCAGCGACGCCGCGUGAGCGAUGAAGCCCUUCGGGGUGUAAAGCUCUUUCGACGGGGACGAUAAUGACGGUACCCGAAGAAAAAGCUGCGGCUAACUACGUGCCAGCAGCCCGCGGUAAUACGUAGGCAGCGAGCGUUGUUCGGAAAUUACUGGGGCGUAAAGAGUGGGUUAGGCGGGGGCUCUAAGUCCUGGGGGUGAAAUCUUCCCGGGUUCAACUGGGGAGGGGGGCGCUAAA
rnacentral:rRNA from 1 species